ACCGCUAUAGCUUAUUAGAGCGUCUGGGUUGCAUUCAGAAGUUGUGGGAUAAAGUCCUGCAAGUCUUA
rnacentral:tRNA from 1 species